rnacentral:rRNA from 1 species
GAUGAACGCUGGCGGCGUGCCUAAUACAUGCAAGUCGAGCGAAUGGAUUAAGAGCUUGCUCUUAUGAAGUUAGCGGCGGACGGGUGAGUAACACGUGGGUAACCUGCCCAUAAGACUGGGAUAACUCCGGGAAACCGGGGCUAAUACCGGAUAACAUUUUGAACCGCAUGGUUCGAAAUUGAAAGGCGGCUUCGGCUGUCACUUAUGGAUGGACCCGCGUCGCAAUAGCUAGUUGGUGAGGUAACGGCUCACCAAGGCAACGAUGCGUAGCCGACCUGAGGGGGUGAGCGGCCACACUGAGACUGAGACACGGCCCAGACGCCUACGGGAGGUAGCAGUAGGGAAUCUUCCGAAAUGGACGAAAGUCUGACGGAGCGACGCCGCGUGAGUGAUGAAGGCUUUCGGGUCGUAAAACUCUGUUGUUAGGGAAGAACAAGUGCUAGUUGAAUAAGCUGGCACCUUGACGGUACCUAACCAGAAAGCCACGGCUAACUACGUGCCAGCCGCCGCAGUAA